rnacentral:rRNA from 1 species
GUCCUUUUGAUAUUAAUAUAAGGUCUAACCUGCCCAAUGAUUAAUUUUUGAAUGGCCGCGGUAUUUUAACUGUGCGAAGGUAGCAUAAUCAUUAGUUUUUUAAUUGAAAGCUGGAAUGAAAGGUUGAAUAAGAAAAUUUCUGUCUCUAUUAAAAUUAUAUUAGAAUUUUAUUUUUAAGUUAAAAAGCUUAAAUAUAAUUUAAAGACGAGAAGACCCUUUAGAGUUUAAUAUAAUAAAAAUUAUUUUAAAAUUUUAGAAUUUAUUAUUUAAAUAAUAAAAUUAUAUUUGAUUGGGGCGAUUAAAAAAUUUAAAUAACUUUUUUUUUUAUUUUACAUUUAUUUAUGAAUAUAUGAUCCAAUAUUUUUGAUUAAAAGAAUAAACUACCUAAGGGAUAACAGCGUUAUUUUUUUUGAGAGUUCAAAUCGAAAAAAAAGAUUGCGACCUCGAUGUUGGAUUAAAAUUAAAUUAUGGUGCAGAAGUUAUAAUUUUAGGUCUGUUCGACCUUUGAAAUUUUACA